AUGUCCUCAGGCUGCUUAACAGAACAAUCUAGCAAAAAGAUGGAAACAAUGGACACAGAUCCAGUAAGGAAGGCUAUUUCCAACCAGGCAGCAGUUCUGAUGGAACUCGACAAGGCUCUCUGUUAUCUCUAUGAUCGACAGGACGUUAUUCUCAAACAACCCAUUGAUACACAAGAAAUACCUGAAGGAUUCAUAUCUAGCCCCGAAGUCUUCACCUGGUGAGCGAGAAAACUGUCAUAGAUUACUAACUCAAUGAUCACACCCAUUACUCCAACAAGAAAUCACCUACCUGGUUAAUCUGUAUAGAGGCCGGGCAUUAAAAUAGGCUUAGGCAGUGCUGGAGAGGGAUGAAGAUAUUUAAUUUUCUCAUUUUUGGGGGGGAGAAUUUUAAAAUUGUGUUUAAAAGGACUCUAACGCAGAUAUUAAUGCUCAUACAAUGUUCAGCCUCUGGGAGGGAAGAAGGGCAGUUGAUUUUUGGAUAACAGCCAAAGAAACAGACUGGGAGGAAAGGGUCCUCUGUGGAACCUUUUUGCAUAGUCUAAGUGAGAACAUGUAAGAUGAAUUAGUUGCUAAAGAAUUACUUGACUUGUUAAACUCUUUGGUCUUUCUCUGCAUUAAAAACCACCGCAAAAAGAACUACAGCUCCAGGCACUCCACUUCCAGUGACCCAUCAGAAGUGGAAUAGUAGUAAGCGGGUCCCAGCGCCCUGUCCCUUGAAUCCAUGCAGCUGGGUAGGUCUUGUCUUGCUUGGGGCAAACCACGGGGAAAAAAAUAAAGCAGUGAAUAUAUGUUUUGUGAAAAAAAAAAAUAGACUUGUUUAUGCCUUAAGCAACCAAAAGAGAGUGUCCGACAGUAAAAGUGGCGUUACCCAGUCAAAUUCUUUAACCAUACAAGUCUUAGUUAAUUCUGAAGUAGAACAGAGUUUCCUGCACUGGGGUGUUGCUACUCAUAUUGGCAUCAACCCAGAAGCCUCUUCUUUGCAACGCUUCAAGUGACAGCCCUCAACAAGAGCAUCCUAAAAAGGAUAGCUCAUCAUCACACCCCGGUUCAUCUCGUUCUGUCAGUGAUUCACAGAGUACCUCAACCUAUACAUCCAUGAGGCUCCUGAGACUCCACUAGUGUUGGGUUUUCUUUGGCUGUAGCUCCAUAACCCCAGAAUUGACGGGGAAUACAAUCUUUACUAAACUGUACCAGUAGAACGCUUACCACCUGAUAAUAAUCAAGGAGAGUGAUAAGUGGAAAACUGACUUAAACACCCAUCUAUGCCAUUACCAGUACCUCACCUUUGACCUCACCAGUGCCCUGGCCAUUUUUCAGGCAUUUAUGAAUGAUGUACUUUGGGAAUUUCUCUUCCUUUGUUCUGACACCAGGGUAGGUGCUGUUCUGCCAUAACAACAUUUUAAAAAAUGCAUCCCUGUGCCGUUUUCUUUUGCUACCUUUUCCCCUCAGAACAGAACUAUAACGUCAGCAAUUGAGAACUCUUGGCAGUAAAAUUGUCCUUGGAAGACUGGGGACAUUGGCUUGAGGGCUCCUAACUGCCAUUCAUCGUAUGUACUAACCACAAGAACCUGCCAUCUGCCAAGUGCUUAAAUCCUCGACAUGCCAGGUGGGCUUACUUUGCAUGAUUCAGUUUUACCAUAAUUUACCAUCCAAUUUCCUUGAUGGCCGGAGAGGGCAUCAAGCCAGAUGCCUGCUGCAGGCAGUUAUGUGCCUCGGAAAAACAAGAAGCACUAUAAAUCAUCAUCAUCAUGUCUCUGAUUAAGUCAGCA
rnacentral:lncRNA from 1 species